rnacentral:rRNA from 1 species
AUUGAACGCUGGCGGCAGGCCUAACACAUGCAAGUCGAGCGGAUGAAGGGAGCUUGCUCCUGGAUUCAGCGGCGGACGGGUGAGUAAUGCCUAGGAAUCUGCCUGGUAGUGGGGGAUAACGUCCGGAAACGGGCGCUAAUACCGCAUACGUCCUGAGGGAGAAAGUGGGGGAUCUUCGGACCUCACGCUAUCAGAUGAGCCUAGGUCGGAUUAGCUAGUUGGUGGGGUAAAGGCCUACCAAGGCGACGAUCCGUAACUGGUCUGAGAGGAUGAUCAGUCACACUGGAACUGGGACACGGUCCAUACUCCUACGGGAGGCAGCAGUGGGGAAUAUUGGACAAUGGGCGAAAGCCUGAUCCAGCCAUGCCGCGUGUGUGAAGAAGGUCUUCGGAUUGUAAAGCACUUUAAGUUGGGAGGAAGGGCAGUAAGUUAAUACCUUGCUGUUUUGACGUUACCAACAGAAUAAGCACCGGCUAACUUCGUG